UACAGAGGGUGCAAGCGUUAAUCGGAAUUACUGGGCGUAAAGCGUGCGCAGACGGUUGCGUAAGUCAGAUGUGAAAUCCCCGGGCUCAACCUGGGAACUGCAUUUGUGACUGCAAGGCUGGAGUGCGGCAGAGGGGGAUGGAAUUCCGCGUGUAGCAGUGAAAUGCGUAGAUAUGCGGAGGAACACCGAUGGCGAAGGCAAUCCCCUGGGCCUGCACUGACGCUCAUGCACGAAAGCGUGGGGAGCAAACAGG
rnacentral:rRNA from 1 species